UGGGGAAUUUUGGACAAUGGGCGCAAGCCUGAUCCAGCAAUGCCGCGUGUGUGAAGAAGGCCUUCGGGUUGUAAAGCACUUUUAUCAGGAACGAAAAGCGAUGGAUUAAUACUCUGUCGUGCUGACGGUACCUGAGGAAUAAGCACCGGCUAACUUCGUGCCAGCAGCCGCGGUAAUACGAAGGGUGCAAGCGUUAAUCGGAAUUACUGGGCGUAAAGCGUGCGUAGAUGGUUCAUUAAGUCGGAUGUGAAAGCCCCGGGCUCAACCUGGGAACUGCAUCUGAUACUGAUGGACUAGAGUGUGGUAGAGGAUGGCGGAAUUCCCGGUGUAGCGGUGAAAUGCGUAGAGAUCGGGAGGAACAUCCGUGGCGAAGGCGGCCAUCUGGACCAACACUGACGUUGAGGCACGAAAGCGUGGGGAGCAAA
rnacentral:rRNA from 1 species